rnacentral:rRNA from 2 species
UACGGAGGGUGCAAGCGUUAUCCGGAUUCACUGGGUUUAAAGGGUGCGUAGGUGGGCUAGUAAGUCCGUGGUGAAAUCUCUGAGCUUAACUCGGAAACUGCCGUGGAUACUAUUAGUCUUGAAUGUUGUGGAGGUAAGCGGAAUAUGUCAUGUAGCGGUGAAAUGCUUAGAUAUGACAUAGAACACCGAUAGCGAAGGCAGCUUGCUACACAAUUAUUGACACUGAGGCACGAAAGCGUGGGGAUCAAACAGG